rnacentral:rRNA from 1 species
UACGAAGGGUGCAAGCGUUAAUCGGAAUUACUGGGCGUAAAGCGCGCGUAGGUGGUUCAGUAAGUUGGAUGUGAAAUCCCCGGGCUCAACCUGGGAACUGCAUCCAAAACUGCUGAGCUAGAGUACGGUAGAGGGUGGUGGAAUUUCCUGUGUAGCGGUGAAAUGCGUAGAUAUAGGAAGGAACACCAGUGGUGAAGGCGACCACCUGGACUGAUACUGACACUGAGGUGCGAAAGCGUGGGGAGCAAACAGG